GACGAACGCUGGCGGCGUGCUUAACACAUGCAAGUCGAACGGAAAGGCCCUGCUUUUGUGGGGUGCUCGAGUGGCGAACGGGUGAGUAACACGUGAGUAACCUGCCCUUGACUUUGGGAUAACUUCAUGAAACUGGGGCUAAUACCGGAUAGGAGCUCCUGCUGCAUGGUGGGGGUUGGAAAGUUUCGGCGGUUGGGGAUGGACUCGCGGCUUAUCAGCUUGUUGGUGGGGUAGUGGCUUACCAAGGCUUUGACGGGUAGCCGGCCUGAGAGGGUGACCGGCCACAUUGGGACUGAGAUGAGGCCCAGACUCAUCCGGGAGGCAGCAGUGGGGAAUAUUGCACAAUGGGCGGAAGCCUGAUGCAGCAACGCCGCGUGCGGGAUGACGGCCUUCGGGUUGUAAACCGCUUUCGCCUGUGACGAAGCGUGAGUGACGGUAAUGGGUAAAGAAGCACCGGCUAACUACGUG
rnacentral:rRNA from 1 species